rnacentral:sRNA from 2 species
AGAGCACUUCGUUAGGUGAGGCUCCUGCGUGAACACAGGCCACUGAUCUGACGACGUCGAGAGAUGCCCAAGAUCAGGACAGGUCUCCCCGGCCUAAGGGGUGACCCCAGGUGGCUUCCCGCCCGGCGGGACACGUCGCGCAGUGCCGAAACUCUUACGUGGAAGUGCCGA